rnacentral:rRNA from 1 species
UACGGGGGGGGCAAGCGUUGUUCGGAAUUACUGGGCGUAAAGGGCUCGUAGGUGGCCAACUAAGUCAGACGUGAAAUCCCUCGGCUUAACCGGGGAACUGCGUCUGAUACUGGAUGGCUUGAGUUCGGGAGAGGGAUGCGGAAUUCCAGGUGUAGCGGUGAAAUGCGUAGAUAUCUGGAGGAAUACCGGUGGCGAAGGCGGCAUCCUGGACCGAGAUUGACACUGAUGAGCGAAAGCUAGGGGAGCAAACGGG